UACGUAGGGUGCGAGCGUUAAUCGGAAUUACUGGGCGUAAAGCGUGCGCAGGCGGUUUUGUAAGCCAGGUGUGAAAUCCCCGGGCUCAACCUGGGAAUGGCAUUUGGGACUGCAAGGCUGGAGUGCGGCAGAGGAGACUGGAAUUCCUGGUGUAGCAGUGAAAUGCGUAGAUAUCAGGAGGAACACCGGUGGCGAAGGCGGGUCUCUGGGCCGAUACUGACGCUGAGGAGCGAAAGCGUGGGGAGCGAACAGG
rnacentral:rRNA from 1 species